rnacentral:tRNA from 7 species
GCAGGAGUGGUGGAACUGGCAGACACGCUAGACUUAGGAUCUAGUGCCCUGGGCAUGUGGGUUCGAGUCCCACCUUCUGCA